rnacentral:tRNA from 1 species
GGUGGCUCAGUGGUAGAGUACUUGCCUUGCAUUCAUGAGGCCCUGGGUUCAAUUCCUCAGCACCA